rnacentral:lncRNA from 1 species
CUCUCUCGGAUUCUAUGACUCAUACCAGCCAUCUCAGCAAUGCCUCCAGCAUUAUCACUGAUUGGACCAUAUGCAUCAAUGGCUAAUCCAGUAGCUAUGGUGCUAAGCAUUCCAAGUGCAGCAACCGCAAUACCAUACAUAGCAGCAAAGGUGAAACUGACAAAGAUACUGAUUGCAAUGGCAAAGAUAGGAAUAAUGACAGACUUGUAACCCAAUGCAAGACCAAAUAUGACGUUUGUAGCAGCUCCAG